rnacentral:rRNA from 1 species
AGAGUUUGAUCCUGGCUCAGGACGAACGCUGGCGGCAUGCCUAACACAUGCAAGUCGAACGGACUCAAUGGAAUAGCUUGCUAGGAAAUUGAGUUAGUGGCGGACGGGUGAGUAACACGUGGAUAACCUGCCUGUGACACCGGGACAACACUGUGAAAACGGUGCUAAUACCGGAUACGUUCCAGAGGCCGCAUGGUCUUUGGAAGAAAGAUUUAUCGGUCACAGAUGGAUCCGCGGCUGAUUAGCUAGUUGGUGGGGUAACGGCCUACCAAGGCGACGAUCAGUAGCCGGCCUGAGAGGGUGAACGGCCACACUGGGACUGAGACACGGCCCCGACUCCUACGGGAGGCAGCAGCAGGGAGUUUUGCGCAAUGGGCGAAAGCCUGACGCAGCAACACCGCGUGAGGGAAGAAGGCCUUCGGGUUGUAAACCUCUUUUCUCAGGGAAGAAUAAUGACGGUACCUGAGGAAUAAGUCACGGCUAACUACGUGCCAGCAGCUGCGGUAAUACGUAGGUGGCAAGCGUUAUCCGGAUUCACUGGGCGUAAAGAGCGCGUAGGUGGUCCUUCAAGUCAGAUGUUAAAUCUCCCGGCUUAACUGGGAGCUGUCAUCUGAUACUGCUGGACUUGAGGGCGGUAGAGGGAGGUGGAAUUCCCGGUGUAGUGGUGAAAUGCGUAGAUAUCGGGAGGAAUACCAGUGGCGAAAGCGGCCUCCUAGGCCGUUCCUGACACUGAGGCGCGAAAGCGUGGGGAGCGAACAGGAUCAGAUACCCUGGUAGUCCACGCCCUAAACUGUGGAAACUAGGUACAGGGAGUAUCGACCCUUCCUGCGCCGCAGCUAACGCGUUAAGUUUCCCGCCUGGGGACUACGGUCGCAAGACUAAAACUCAAAUGAAUUGACGG